ACCAGAGGCUUUAGUGGUUAGCAUGUUGGCCUCACACCUCUGUGGUUGGGGGCUCGAAUCCCUCCUCUGGCC